AUGGGGGGCAGCCUGAUCCAGCCAUGCCGCGUGUGUGAAGAAGGCCUUCGGGUUGUAAAGCACUUUUGUACGGGAAGAAAUCGUUCGGGCCAAUACCCUGGACGGAUGACGGUACCGUAAGAAUAAGCACCGGCUAACUUCGUGCCAGCAGCCGCGGUAAUACGAAGGGUGCAAGCGUUACUCGGAAUUACUGGGCGUAAAGCGUGCGUAGGCGGUUUGUUAAGUCAGAUGUGAAAUCCCCGGGCUCAACUUGGGAAUGGCAUUUGAUACUGGCGAGCUAGAGUACGGUAGAGGGUGGAUGGAAUUCCCGGUGUAGCGGUGAAAUGCGUAGAGAUCGGGAGGAACAUUCGUGGCGAAGGCGGCCACCUGGACCAGUACUGACGCUGAUGCACGAAAGCGUGGGGAGCAAACAGGAUUAGAUACCCUGGUAGUCCACGCCCUAAACGAUGCGAACUGGACGUUGGGUGCAAUUGAGCAUUCAGUGUCGAAGCUAACGCGUUAAGUUCGCCGCCUGGGGAGUACGGUCGCAAGACUG
rnacentral:rRNA from 1 species